AGGUUCUGCCUACAGGGAAGAUUUUGACAUAUUGCUGGUCGCAACACCAACGUAAUGUUGCUCUUUUGCCUGGGCCCUGCCCUCAAAAGGCACUGUGAUAUACUGGUGGGCCCAGCUUGAAGGUGAUAUUUCACUGUGACAUAUCCUUGGUCCCAUCACCUAUAUGAUUUGAUGGUCCUCUUUGUUCUGGGACCUCUCCACAUGGGCAUUGUGAUAUAUCACUUGGCCCAGCAGUUUGCCAAUAAGAAAUGUUAUGACAUAUUGAUGGCUCCAGCAACCAUGUGAUAUAUCUCUCCUGCUCCGGCCUCAUCAAAAGAGAGCAUUGUGACAUACUCCUGAGCCAAGCACACAGAUGAUGUUAUUCUGCUGCCUGUGCCCUGCUUUCAGGAGUGGAUUGCAAUGUAACACUGGCUGAAUACCCAGCCACAGGUGGGAGAGUGACUCAUAUCUGAACCCAACUAAGAGACACAGUAAUGACUUUCAUGCCUGGAUCCAGCCAAUAAUGAGAGGUGUUGACUGUCAUACCUGGACUUAAGAAAAGAGGUAGAUGAUGACUCUAGGAUCAGGGUUCAUCACACCGGUGAGGCUUUGACUCUGAUAUCAGGACACAGCCUGCAGGUGUAAUUGGGACUCUCAUGAACAAAUCUAGUCCAUCAUUGAGAUUGUGACUCAUGUACUUGGAUGCAACUCACAGGAGGUGUUGUUGACUCUUUUACCUGAAGCUGCGACAUGUGUGGAAUUGUGAAUCUUAGCUCUGGACCUUCCCACAAGUGUUGUGACAUAUACUUUUGCCAAGCACCUGAGUAAUUUUACUUCCCUGCCUGGACCCAGCCCUCAGAGGGGAUUGUGACAGAUACCUGGGUCAAACACCUAGGUGAUGUGACUCUCAUGCUUGAGCCCUACCCACAGAGCGUGUUGUAAAAUAU